CGAGGGUAAGCGGAUCUCUUAAAGCUGUUCUCAGUUCGGACUGCAGGCUGCAACUCGCCUGCACGAAGCUGGAAUCGCUAGUAAUCGCGGAUCAGCACGCCGCGGUGAAUACGUUCCCGGGCCUUGUACACACCGCCCGUCACACCAUGGAAGUCUGCAAUGCCCAAAGUCGGUGAGAUAACCUUUAUAGGAGUCAGCCGCCUAAGGCAGGGCAGAUGACUGGGGUGAAGUCGUAACAAGGUAGCCGUAGGAGAACCUGCGGCUGGAUCACCUCCUUUCUAAGGAA
rnacentral:rRNA from 1 species